ensembl:lncRNA
ACUGAGCCCUGCAGCGUGUCCUCCAUCCUCCAAACAGCACAGAAGUGGCUGAAGACUUACCCUUCCAGCACUCCCUGCAUGGAGCAGGGCUUGGCUGGCCCUCUGUAGGAUUUCCUCAUUCCUUCUGCAGCCAUUGGGGCCAUUUACUCUUCCUGAAGAGCACCACAACAUUCCCAACCCUUAUGGGAGAGAGGAGCUCAGGAAGCACCACUGCUUCCAUCACAUCUGCCACAGACCUGUGGGCUGCGGUGUGCAGAGGGGAAUGGAAGGACAGCAGCAAGCAUGCAUUUCCUGCUCAGCCCCUCAGAACCCAGACUUUCAUCGACCACCAUCUCCCUCCCCUCCAGCCAAGUGAAAUCCUCUGGAUCUCAGCCGGGCUUCAGAUGGAGGAGCUGAGAGAACAGCAUCAACUCAGCCCAGCACAACACACAGAUUCUGCACAGCCCGGAUCUCUCCUGCUGCAGCCUGGAAGACCUGUGAGGACAUCACCCAUCUCCCAACCCACAUUGCUGCCCACGUCGUGUGCAACAACUGAAGAGCAAGGGGAACUUUACUGCCCUUCUCUUUGGUGUGUGACAGAUUAAUGGGGAAAGUACACCGCCUUUUAGGGUUGGGGUAUUAAUCCUCAGUGUGCUGUGAGAUGGAGAAGUCACAACGAAAACAAAGAUGUAUCUGUGAGGGGUAUAAACACGGCAGCUCUCCACACUCCGAGCACAGAAGAUGAAAUCAUAAUAGCAUACACUUAUUUACUCGUAAAAACCCAUCAAUAACACGAGAUGUAGAGCUGAACUCUGGGCUCUUCUCCCAUGCACUUAAAAACGAAAUGAAUCUUAAGGAGGAACAGAAUCACGUAUCGAUGUGCAUACAAGCAGUGUGAGUAAGCUACAGUACAAAACAAACCAAAUUAUUUACGUUUUCUUUUUAAACUGCCUUCAGGAAUGUUUGCCAUUAGGAGUCGUUUGUAUCCAGAGAGCUCAAGUUAAUGACAGAAGCGGAUCUGUGUCACAGGUUGGAGGACUAAGGGAUGCUGACCCAACCUGGUAAAUGUGUUGGGGCACUGCAUCCUUCUGGGCAUCUCCCUGCUCCAAGCACUGUGCCCAUGGUGAGGGAGGGAUGAUGUCCAGGAGGAUGGACAUCGGGAUGGACAUCGGGAUGGACAUCGGGAUGGACAGCAGGAUGGCCUCAACUCCACUCUGCUCUUAUUUGUGCCACCUGCUGCAUCCCAGCAGACCUCACUGGGGCUGUUAUUUCCCAGAGAGCCUUCCGUUGUGAAAAGGUGUGUGAAUGCGAAUUCAAAUCAGCCAUCAGCUUCCCGCUGAGUUCAGAACACCUCUUUCACCAUUUUAAAUGAUUUUUAAAUGAAUGCAAUGCACUCGAUCUUCCAGCUGAAAUAACUUCUGUAUUAUCCUCCGAGCCUGAAUUCCUUUCCCCCUUUGCUCUCUGUUCACUUCGGAUAAUUCAAUGGGAAUUUAUUUGAAAAGAGGUGCUGGGUCACAAAUGAACCAAACCGCUGACAGCAGGAGCUCCCACCUGGUUGCUGUGCACGUGAGAGGCAGGGAGCCACACACAGGAGGCUGCAGGGUUGUUAUCAUUAUGCUCAUUGAAAAUAUUCUGCCUCAACUGAGUUCUUCUUUUUUUCCCCUUCUUUUCCCAUAAGAAUCGAUUUUCUUUUGAUUAAACGGAACUUUUACAC